GCCUGGUUGGCUCAGUGGGCAGAGCGAGUGACUCUUGAUCUCAAGGUUGGGAGUUCUAGCCCCACACUGGGUA
rnacentral:tRNA from 1 species